rnacentral:rRNA from 1 species
GACGAACGCUGGCGGCGUGCUUAAUACAUGCAAGUCGAACGGGGCCGCGCAAAGCACUGUGUGCUUUGCGGGGGGUAAGAGUGAAACGGAGAGGUUAAAGAAGCGGAGCAGCGGAAGCGGCGAAGCGGAGGUAGCUCUUGAGUGUGAGCUUUAUGAGAAACGCAGCGGAGCGCAGAGCGCUUUGCGCGGCUUAGUGGCGGACGGGUGAGUAACGCGUGAGCAACCUGGCCUUUGGAGGGGGACAACAGCUGGAAACGGCUGCUAAUACCGCAUAAAAUAUGAUGAUGGCAUCGUUAUCAUAUCAAAGAUUCAUCGCCGAAGGAUGGGCUCGCGUCUGAUUAGCUAGUUGGUAGGGUAACGGCCUACCAAGGCGACGAUCAGUAGCCGGACUGAGAGGUUGACCGGCCACAUUGGGACUGAGAUACGGCCCAGACUCCUACGGGAGGCAGCAGUAGGGAAUAUUGGUCAAUGGGGGGAACCCUGAACCAGCAACGCCGCGUGAAGGAAGAAGGCAUUCGUGUUGUAAACUUCUUUGACGAAGGACGAAAAAAAUGACGGUACUUCGAAAACAAGCCACGGCUAACUACGUGCCAGCAGCCGCGGUAAUACGUAGGUGGCAAGCGUUGUCCGGAUUUACUGGGUGUAAAGGGCGCGUAGGCGGGAAUGCAAGUCUGAUGUGAAAUCUAUGGGCUUAACCCAUAAACUGCAUUGGAAACUGUAUUUCUUGAGUGAUGGAGAGGCAGGCGGAAUUCCUAGUGUAGCGGUGAAAUGCGUAGAUAUUAGGAGGAACACCAGUGGCGAAGGCGGCCUGCUGGACAUUAACUGACGCUGAGGCGCGAAAGCGUGG